GGCAGACGGGUGAGUAGCAUGUAGGUAUCUACCCUUUGGCCUGGAAUAACACGAGGAAACUUGUGCUAAUACCGGAUAAGUCUUUACGGAGAAAGCUUUAUGCACCAUUGGAUGAGCCUGCACUUGAUUAGUUUGUUGGUGGGGUAAUGGCCUACCAAGACUGUGAUCAAUAGCUGAUUUGAGAGGAUGAUCAGCCACAUUGGGACUGAGACACGGCCCAAACUCCUACGGGAGGCAGCAGUGGGGAAUCUUGCACAAUGGAGGAAACUCUGAUGCAGCGAUGCCGCGUGAGUGAAGAAGGCCCUUGGGUUGUAAAGCUCUUUCGUCGGGGAAGAAAAUGACUGUACCCGAAUAAGAAGGUCCGGCUAACUUCGUGCCAGCAGCCGCGGUAAUACGAAGGGACCUAGCGUAGUUCGGAAUUACUGGGCUUAAAGAGUUCGUAGGUGGUUGAAAAAGUUAGUGGUGAAAUCCCAGAGCUUAACUCUGGAACUGCCAUUAAAACUUUUCAGCUAGAGUAUGAUAGAGGAAAGCAGAAUUUCUAGUGUAGAGGUGAAAUUCGUAGAUAUUAGAAAGAAUACCAAUUGCGAAGGCAGCUUUCUGGAUCAUUACUGACACUGAGGAACGAAAGCAUGGGUAGCGA
rnacentral:rRNA from 1 species